rnacentral:rRNA from 1 species
AACACCAAGCGAAUCAUCGAGUCUUUGAACGCAAACGGCACCCUUCCAGUCCAUUCCAACGCGGUGGCGGAGGAUGAAGACAAGGGUAUCUCUGGCUGAGGGUAAUGA